rnacentral:misc_RNA from 1 species
CUGAAUCAAUCGCUCGUCCUUCAGCAUGUGAAGCAGCGUCGUCUUGCCGGCAUUGUCGAGGCCGAGGAACAGGAUCUUUGCCUCCUUCUGCCACAGACCGAGGGUGGCGAGGACGCUGUAGAACCAGUCAAAGAGAAACAUCGUCGCCGGUGGAGGCGAUCGGAGGGAUCACCGGAGAUCCCGCCGGAGGCGACCGAAUCCGGCGAUCGCAG